UACAGAGGGGGCAAGCGUUGUUCGGAAUUACUGGGCGUAAAGGGCGCGUAGGCGGCCUGUUAAGUCGAACGUGAAAUCCCCGGGCUCAACCCGGGAACUGCGUCCGAUACUGGCAGGCUUGAAUUCGGGAGAGGGAUGCGGAAUUCCAGGUGUAGCGGUGAAAUGCGUAGAUAUCUGGAGGAACACCGGUGGCGAAGGCGGCGAUCCUGGACCGAGAUUGACGCUGAGGCGCGAAAGCCAGGGAGCAAACGGG
rnacentral:rRNA from 1 species